CCGAGGAGUCCCAGUCGGCUGCGAGUCGUUGGAGCCAAUCGAGCUACUAACUCCGACGGCACAGUGAAAGCGAGAACGUGACACGUCGUCGCCGAUAGCGUCCGCGCUGUCGGCGGCGUCUCGAAGCAUCGUUCCCGGGUCGGGCCAGCGCGCAUGGCUAUUGCAAGCUCGCCUUGUUAAUAUCGGCUGCGCGCGCUCCGACUCAGGUCUAGCAGACGGCCGGGGACCCGAAAGAUGGCGAUCCACGCCCGGUCGGGACGAAGCCAGAGGAAACUCUGGUGGAAGUCCGAAGCGCCUCUGACGUGCAAAUCGAUCGUCGGAACCGGGUGUAGGGGCGAAAGACCAAUCGAGCCGUCUA
rnacentral:rRNA from 1 species